CCUACGGGCGGCUGCAGUGGGGAAUAUUGGACAAUGGGGGCAACCCUGAUCCAGCCAUGCCGCGUGUGUGAAGAAGGCCCUCGGGUUGUAAAGCACUUUCAGUGAGGAAGAACGCCUGGUGGUUAAUACCCAUCAGGAAAGACAUCACUCACAGAAGAAGCACCGGCUAACUCCGUGCCAGCAGCCGCGGUAAUACGGAGGGUGCGAGCGUUAAUCGGAAUUACUGGGCGUAAAGCGCGCGUAGGUGGCUUGAUAAGCCGGUUGUGAAAGCCCCGGGCUCAACCUGGGAACGACAUCCGGAACUGUCAAGCUAGAGUGCAGGAGAGGAAGGUAGAAUUCCCGGUGUAGCGGUGAAAUGCGUAGAGAUCGGGAGGAAUACCAGUGGCGAAGGCGGCCUUCUGGACUGACACUGACACUGAGGUGCGAAAGCGUGGGUAGCAAACAGGAUUAGAUACCCUAGUAGUC
rnacentral:rRNA from 1 species